rnacentral:rRNA from 1 species
CGGCGAGUGAAGCGGCAACAGCUCAGAUUUGAAAUCUGGCCCCCAGGGCCCGAGUUGUAAUCUGUAGAGGAUGCUUCUGGCAAGGCGCCGUCCGAGUUCCCUGGAACGGGACGCCGGAGAGGGUGAGAGCCCCGUACAGGCGGACGCCGAGCCUCUGUGAAGCUCCUUCGACGAGUCGAGUAGUUUGGGAAUGCUGCUCAAAGCGGGAGGUAAAUUUCUUCUAAAGCUAAAUAUAGGCCAGAGACCGAUAGCGCACAAGUAGAGUGAUCGAAAGAUGAAAAGCACUUUGAAAAGAGGGUUAAAAAGCACGUGAAAUUGUUGAAAGGGAAGCGCCUGUGACCAGACUCGCGCCCGGCGGAUCAUCCGGCGUUCUCGCCGGUGCACUCCGCCGGGCUCGGGCCAGCAUCGGUUCUGGUGGGGGGAUAAAGGCGGCGGGGAUGUGGCUCCCCCGGGAGUGUUAUAGCCCGCCGCUCAAUGCCCUCGCCGGGACCGAGGACCGCGCAAGGAUGCUGGCGUAAUGGUCACCAGCGACCCGUCUUGAAACACGGACCAAGGAGUCAAGCAUUAGGGCGAGUGUUUGGGUGUAAAACCCGCACGCGAAAUGAAAGUGAACGUAGGUGGGAGCCUCGGCGCACCAUCGACCGAUCCUGAAGUCUUCGGAUGGAUUUGAGUAAGAGCCUUACCGCUUGGACCCGAAAGAUGGUGAACUAUGCUUGUGUAGGGUGAAGCCAGAGGAAACUCUGGUGGAGGCUCGCAGCGGUUCUGACGUGCAAAUCGAUCGUCAAACAUGAGCAUGGGGGCGAAAG